rnacentral:rRNA from 1 species
AGCGAACGCUGGCGGCAGGCCUAACACAUGCAAGUCGAGCGGAUCCUUCGGGAUUAGUGGCGGACGGGUGAGUAACACGUGGGAACGUGCCCUUUGGUUCGGAACAACUCAGGGAAACUUGAGCUAAUACCGGAUGUGCCCUUCGGGGGAAAGAUUUAUCGCCAUUGGAGCGGCCCGCGUCUGAUUAGCUAGUUGGUGAGGUAACGGCCCACCAAGGCGACGAUCAGUAGCUGGUCUGAGAGGAUGAUCAGCCACACUGGGACUGAGACACGGCCCAGACUCCUACGGGAGGCAGCAGUGGGGAAUCUUGCGCAAUGGGCGAAAGCCUGACGCAGCCAUGCCGCGUGAAUGAUGAAGGUCUUAGGAUUGUAAAAUUCUUUCAGCGGGGACGAUAAUGACGGUACCCGCAGAAGAAGCUCCGGCUAACUUCGUG